AUUUUCUCAUGUUAUACCAUAGAUGCAGUUUAAUAUUUUAUCUUGACUUACAUGUAGAUGCAAAUUUAGAUAAUCAUUGGCAAUUAAUAUCAUGAAAUCUUGUGUUUGUCUGUUGCUGCAUUUUUUAUUCACUAUGGCUGCAAAUAGCAAUAUUCUUGUAGCUCUUGCAGCAAAUGUUUAUAAAUUCUUUUAUUUGGACGUUACCAAAUGUUUAUAAAUUCUUUUUCUUUCAAAGAAGCAAAGUGUUUAUUCUUUAAUCUUCAGCAAUUAGACUGAUAAAAUGUGUGUGGGCUACUGGCUUCACUUUAAAUUUCACUUUCCAGUUUUUACCAUCUAUUAGUAAUUAUAAGGUUUGAUACAAUUGUAUUUACAAUAUCAUUAAAAAUUGUGUAAGAAGUCUGGCAAGUUAUUGUUCAAAUAUGUAAAUUCAAAUCCAUGGAUAAAUGACGUAUUAUGGCUGAUUUCAAAUAUGAUUAAUAAUAUUUAGAUAUAAGUAUUGAUUUAUCUUAUAACUUUUGAUGUAAGAGUAACUUGUAGUAAAAUUCUCACCUUCCUGCUGUACUUAGGCAGAUUAUUCACAUAGUAAUUUUUCUUCUGUCCGAAUCAGCUUUUAAUGCUUAAAGGGUGGAUUUGUUGUUAAAAAACUGGAAAUUAGUGAGUCUGUUGAAUAAGAUUCUCAAAAGUAAUAGCAAACUGAAUUUAGGUUAUCUGGUUAGAUGAAGAAAUGAUAUCUGAUAAAGGUUCUGCUAGGAGUGAUAGGAGUUUUUUGAUCGAAACAAGAAAUCAAAAUUUAUUCUGAACUGAU
rnacentral:lncRNA from 1 species